UGGAGGAUCCUCUACAUGCAGUUGCAGCCACGAGCAGAGGAUCCUGGCACCAUGCCGCUGGCAAACUGCUACGUAGCGCACAUGUGCACAAGUGCGCUACAUAGCGGUUUGCUGGUGGCGCGGUGCUGGAACCCUCUGCUCGCAGCUGCAGCUGCAUGUAGAGGAUCCUCC